rnacentral:lncRNA from 1 species
GCUGACUCUCUUUUCAGACUCAGCCCACUUGCACCCAAGUGAAUUAACAGCCUUGUUGCUCACACAAAGCCUGUUUAGGUGGUCUUCUAUACGGACAUGCUUGACACUUGGUGCCAAAAUCUGGGCCAGGGGGACUCCUUCGUGAGACCGGCCCCCUGUCCUGGCCCUCAUUCCGUGAAGAGAUCCACCUGCGACCUCGGGUCCUCAGACCAGCCCAAGGAACAUCUCACCAAUUUCAAAUCGGGGUCCCUGGAGCUCUGGCUCAAAGCUCUCUGGCUGACUCCUUCCCAGAUCUCCUCGGCUUAGUGGCUGAAGACUGAUGCUGCCCGAUCGCCUCAGAAGCCCCUUGGACCAUCACAGAUGCCGAGCUUCGGGUAACUCUUACGGUGGAGGGAUCUGCAAUCAGAACUAUUGAACUUCUCCAUUCAGACCGCCACUCACACCUAUGGGAAAAGGGUAAUGUAUCAUCGGCUUAGCAACAGGGAAUACUAUUCGUAUGAUGGAAAAUGGGGACAAAAGGCUUUGGUACAUAAAACAUUAUUCCUUCCUUGGCCUAAAAACUCAUCGCCACCUACAUUAAAGCUAAUAUGCCUG